rnacentral:rRNA from 1 species
UGGUGAUCCUGCCGGACCCGACUGCUAUCAGAGUGGGACUAAGCCAUGCGAGUCAACGUAGCAAUGCGUGGCGAACGGCUCAGUAACACGUAGUCAACAUGCCCAGGGGACGUGGAUAACCUCGGGAAACUGAGAUUAAACCGCGAUAGGUCAAGAUUUCUGGAAUGGAUCCUGGCUUAAAUCUACAUGGCCCCUGGAUUGGACUGCGGCCGAUCAGGCUGUUGGUGAGGUAAUGGCCCACCAAACCUAUAACCGGUACGGGCUCUGAGAGGAGAAGCCCGGAGAUGGGCACUGAGACAAGGGCCCAGGCCCUAUGGGGCGCAGCAGGCGCGAAACCUCUGCAAUGGGCGAAAGCCUGACAGGGUUACUCUGAGUGAUUUCCGCUAAGGAGAUCUUUUGGCAGCUCUAAAAAUGGUGCAGAAUAAGGGGUGGGCAAGUCUGGUGUCAGCCGCCGCGGUAAUACCAGCACCCCGAGUGGUCGGGACGAUUAUUGGGCCUAAAGCAUCCGUAGCCGGUUGUGCAAGUCCUCCGUUAAAUCCAGCCGCUCAACGGAUGGGCUGCGGAGGAUACUACAGAACUAGGAGGCGGGAGAGGCAAGCGGUACUUAGUGGGUAGGGGUAAAAUCCUUUGAUCCAUUGAAGACCACCAGUGGCGAAGGCGGCUUGCCAGAACGCGCUCGACGGUGAGGGAUGAAAGCUGGGGGAGCAAACCGGAUUAGAUACCCGGGUAGUCCCAGCUGUAAACGAUGCAGACUCGGUGAUGGGCUAGCCUCGUGUCAGCCCAGUGCCGCAGGGAAGCCGUUAAGUCUGCCGCCUGGGGAGUACGGUCGCAAGACUGAAACUUAAAGGAAUUGGCGGGGGAGCACCACAAGGGGUGAAGCCUGCGGUUUCAUUGGACUNCACGCCGGG